UACGGGGGGCAGCAGUGGGGAAUAUUGCACAAUGGGCGCAAGCCUGAUGCAGCGACGCCGCGUGAGGGAUGACGGCCUUCGGGUUGUAAACCUCUUUCAGUAGGGAAGAAGCGAAAGUGACGGUACCUGCAGAAGAAGCACCGGCUAACUACGUGCCAGCAGCCGCGGUAA
rnacentral:rRNA from 1 species